CUGCAUCAACUGACUGACCUUGAAUAAAUUGCUGUUCUGUUGGUUCGCAUUCAGAUGCAAAAGAAAAUAAUCCCUGAGCUUUCUGUCUGUCUUUGCCGCAGCACAAAUUGAACUGGAGAAUAUGUGA
rnacentral:snoRNA from 1 species